GAUGGGAGGGGAUCAGAUCGGAGCGAUCAUGUCGGUUGCAAACACCACAAAAUAGAAUGAAUAUUUUAUCGCACUUUUGGUUUACAAGGUUAAAAAGAAACCUUUUGCUCUGAGAAGAACCUCGGAUCAUCUUCCUCUCAUCGUCUUCCAUCAUCAUCAACUAAGGCUAAGCUACACAGUUCAUGAGUGCAUUUCCUGGACCAGUAAGUUGGUUUUCUUUGUAUGUAUAUUUGUAUGAAAUGCUUUUCUUUC